UACGUAGGGACCAAGCGUUGUUCGGAUUUACUGGGCGUAAAGGGCGCGUAGGCGGCGCGGUAAGUCACUUGUGAAAUCUCUGAGCUUAACUCAGAACGGCCAAGUGAUACUGCAGUGCUAGAGUGUGGAAGGGGCAAUCGGAAUUCUUGGUGUAGCGGUGAAAUGCGUAGAUAUCAAGAGGAACACCUGAGGUGAAGACGGGUUGCUGGGCCAACACUGACGCUGAUGCGCGAAAGCCAGGGGAGGCAAACGGG
rnacentral:rRNA from 1 species